UUUUCUUUCCUUGUACGUGUGAGGUUAUGAAGAGGUUAAAGGCUCCUGCUUCGCUGCGACCAAACUGGACAACAGAUCGACAGCGAUGCAGGAAUAGCAGACAACGUCUCCACAGGGAAGGACUGAUGGACGGACAGAUAGAUGGAGGGAUGAGUCACGGAGAGGGAUGGAGGGAUGAAGCGAUGAGACAUGAAGGGAAGUGCGAUAUGCCGUCCUCAGUUGCUGCCAUUGGAGCUGUAGCAGGAGGAUUAGGAGCUUUGGUCGUGGCUCCUGCUGCUCUGACUGCAGUAGGUUUCACUUCCGCUGGAAUAGCUGCAGGCUCCUGUGCUGCUAGCUUGAUGUCAUCUGCUGCAGCUGCCGGUGGAGGAGGAGUGGCAGCAGGAAGUGUGGUGGCUGUUUUGCAGUCAGUAGGUGCAGCUGGUGUGUCAGCGGCUACCGCUGUAGCUUCAUCUGCUGUUGGAGCAGCAGCAGGGGCGGUGCUCUCAGCCGUGGCUAACUCAACUGGAACCACCUAAAGAUCUACAGCGUGGAUAUAUAUUAUUAAACUUUGGGUGAGUGAUUCUAUAGAAAGAUGGUUUAUGGUUGAGUCUCAUUCCCAGGUCGACAAGCUUUGGGUUGGUGGCUCAGUCAGAGACACUAUUGUUUAUUGUUGAGUCUCAUUCAUACAUUGUCAAAUAUGGACAACUUAGGAAUGAGACUCAGCAAUCAAACUUUUUUAGGGAAUUGCUCACCCUUUCUUUAGAGGCUACUGCAAUUUAUAUCAAGCA
rnacentral:lncRNA from 1 species